GACGAACGCUGGCGGCGUGCCUAAUACAUGCAAGUAGAACGCUGAAGAGAGGAGCUUACUCUUCUUGGAUGAGUUGCGAACGGGUGAGUAACGCGUAGGUAACCUGCCUUGUAGCGGGGGAUAACUAUUGGAAACGAUAGCUAAUACCGCAUAACAAUGGAUGACACAUGUCAUUUAUUUGAAAGGGGCAAUUGCUCCACUACAAGAUGGACCUGCGUUGUAUUAGCUAGUAGGUGAGGUAAUGGCUCACCUAGGCGACGAUACAUAGCCGACCUGAGAGGGUGAUCGGCCACACUGGGACUGAGACACGGCCCAGACUCCUACGGGAGGCAGCAGUAGGGAAUCUUCGGCAAUGGGGGCAACCCUGACCGAGCAACGCCGCGUGAGUGAAGAAGGUUUUCGGAUCGUAAAGCUCUGUUGUAAGUCAAGAACGGGUGUGAGAGUGGAAAGUUCACACUGUGACGGUGGCUUACCAGAAAGGGACGGCUAACUACGUG
rnacentral:rRNA from 1 species